UUGAGAGCCGAACUGUGGAGGAA
rnacentral:misc_RNA from 1 species